UACGUAGGGGGGCUAGCGUUGUCCGGAAUCAUUGGGCGUAAAGCGCGUGUAGGCGGCCCGGUAAGUCCGCUGUGAAAGUCGGGGGGCUCAACCCUCGGAUGCCGGUGGAUACUGUCGGGCUUGAGUACGGAAGAGGCGAGUGGAAUUCCUGGUGUAGCGGUGAAAUGCGCAGAUAUCAGGAGGAACACCAAUUGCGAAGGCAGCUCGCUGGGACGUAACUGACGCUGAGACGCGAAAGCGUGGGGAGCAAACAGG
rnacentral:rRNA from 1 species